rnacentral:rRNA from 1 species
UACGAGGGGUGCAAGCGUUGCUCGGAAUUAUUGGGCGUAAAGGGUAGGUAGGUGGUCUGAUUUGUCAGUGGUGAAAGCCUUGGGCUUAACCCAAGAAGUGCCCCUGAAACGGUCAGACUGGAGUCUUGGAGAGGGUAGUGGAAUUCCCGGUGUAGCGGUGAAAUGCGUAGAUAUCGGAAGGAACACCUGUGGCGAAAGCGGCUCACUGGACCACAACUGACGCUGAUGCACGAAAGCGUGGGGAGCAAACAGG